GAAAGUGGAGAUGCGGAGUUCACUAAUGAAGACUCUCUAGGCAUCAGCUGACCCAAGACCAGCAGCAACGCAGCACAGCAGAGGAGCUACCACAACACAAACGCUAGAGCAAGACCUACCAAGACCAACUUUUCCACUUUUUUUUGACGAGCUUCAAACUCAAGACCAAUAUCUAAACAUGCCAGCCUACAUGGACAUCACUCUUCAGGACAGCAUGAACGUGAACGAUCAGCACAUUAGGUGUAAACUCUCUCUGUUUGAGAGGAAAUGCAUCAGUAGUAUGGAGAAACUGAAGAUAGUCAUUGGAGGACACGUCCAGAACGGGAUCCCUACAUCUCCCAUAUCUCCUAUUUUGGAGAAGACGGUGUCCUUUUUCACUCCGAAGAAGGCCUUGGUGUCACCCACCGGCUAUUCCAAAUGUUCCAGGGACAUGCUGCGCCUUUUUCCCGCUCCAGAGGAGGACAUUGUACCACUGCUUUGAACAAUGAAUUGAGAGAGACGCAUGGAUGUGGAGGUUAUAGGUCAGGGGUCACAUACUGGGCUGAGACUAGGGUCUGAGACAAAAUGAUCACUGCACUGUGAGAUACAAACCCGUGGGAAGGGCAUGAAUUGAGCUUAAGGCAAGCAGAGCACAAUAUACUGUUUAUGUGCAAAUUCUGCUCAGAUUAUAUGUGCCAUUUCUACGUCUGUUCCCACCAUGGUGAAUGGUUGGUUGUCUUAUUUGGACCCGACUGUCAGAGACAGGUCUGGAACCUAUGCUUUUGUUUUACAUGACAUUUAAAGCUGCAGAUUCAUUUGAAAUGAAUUGUGUGCAUUGAUAUAAGCAGAGUUGUACUGCUUCAUUCUUUCUGUGAAAUGAUGAACCAAAUACAUUGUUUCAAGGAGAAAUAAUGCCUUGAUUCAAGUUGGAAAAUAAAUCUACACGCAUACCUUUAUUUUUGGAAAGGAACAGUGCAUUGUUGUGCAUGAUACAUAAAGUAAAUGUUUAUUUUAUUGUAAGACCCCAAAGGGGAUUUAUAUUCUUGUUAAUAUUGUAGUUUAUUUUUGUAAGCUAAUAAAACUGCAAACAAAAUCCACUUUUCUUUUGUCUAUUCCUCAUAUCUGGGAU
rnacentral:lncRNA from 1 species